rnacentral:rRNA from 1 species
UAGGGAAUCUUCGGCAAUGGACGAAAGUCUGACCGAGCAACGCCGCGUGAGUGAAGAAGGUUUUCGGAUCGUAAAACUCUGUUGUUAGAGAAGAACAAGGACGUUAGUAACUGAACGUCCCCUGACGGUAUCUAACCAGAAAGCCACGGCUAACUACGUGCCAGCAGCCGCGGUAAUACGUAGGUGGCAAGCUUUGUCCGGAUUUAUUUGGCGUAAAGCGAGCGCAGGCGGUUUCUUAAGUCUGAUGUGAAAGCCCCCGGCUCAACCGGGGAGGGUCAUUGGAAACUGUGAGACUUGAGUGCAGAAGAGGAGAGUGGAAUUCCAUGUGUAGCGGUGAAAUGCGUAGAUAUAUGGAGGAACACCAGUGGCGAAGGCGGCUCUCUGGUCUGUAACUGACGCUGAGGCUCGAAAGCGUGGGGAGCAAACAGG